CAUGGUAUCAGAGCUACAGUGAGAAUAUUAUAGCUGUGCAUCAUUCCAGCUACUUCCGGGAAGAAAGACCUCGUCGCCGUGCAAUUUUCCGGCGACGUAAGAGGCUGUCCGUAACUAAACUACCUUUUUUGUUGGUGUUGUGCAAAAUCCGAGACCACCACGAGGUUCGGAAGAGAAUUCCGACCAACCACAAAAAAAAUCACC
rnacentral:lncRNA from 1 species